rnacentral:rRNA from 1 species
GAUGAACGCUGGCGGCGUGCUUAACACAUGCAAGUCGAACGGAAGUAGCAAUACUUCAGUGGCGCACGGGUGAGGAACACGUAGCUCAUCUGCCCUCAAGUGUGGGAUAACGCUCCGAAAGGAGUGCUAAUACCGCAUAAGCUCCCGGAUUGCAGAGGUCUGGGAGAAAAGGAGUAAUUCGCUUGAGGAGGAGGCUGCGGCCCAUCAGGUAGUUGGGCGGUAACGGCGCACCAAGCCGACGACGGGUAGGGGACCUGAGAGGGUGACCCCCCACACUGGGACUGAGACACGGCCCAGACUCCUACGGGAGGCAGCAGUGAGGAAUAUUGCCCAAUGGACGCAAGUCUGAGGCAGCGACGCCGCGUGGGUGAUGAAGGCUUUCGGGUCGUAAAGUCCCUUUUCUGUGUGACGAGCGAAAGGACGGUAGC